rnacentral:rRNA from 1 species
UUAACAGUGAAACUGCGAAUGGCUCAUUAAAUCAGUUAUUGUCUACUUGAUAGCACCUUACUACAUGGAUAACCGUGGUAAUUCUAGAGCUAUACAUGCUGAAAACCCCGACUUCGGAAGGGGCGUGUUUAUUAGAUACAAAACCAAUGCCCUCCGGGCUCACUGGUGAUUCAGAAUAACCUCUCGAAUCGCACGGCCUUGCGCCGGCGAUGGUUCAAUCAAGUUUCUGCCCUAUCAACUUUCGACGGCUGGGUACCGGCCAGCCGUGGUGACAACGGGUAACGGAGGGUUAGGGCUCGACCCCGGAGAGUCCGCCUGAGAGACGGCGAACACAUCCAAGGAAGGCAGCAGGCGCGCAAAUUAUCCAAUUCCGACGCGGAGAGAUAGUGACGAAACAUACUGAUACAGGGCUCUUUUGGGUCUUGUAAUUGGAAUGAGUACAACUCAAAUCCCUUAACGAGGAACAAUUGGAGGGCAAGUCUGGUGGACCUCCAGUCCCACCAGCAGCCGCGGUAAUUCCAGCUCCAAUAGCGUAUAUUAAAGUUGUUGCAGUUAAAAAGCUCGUAGUUGAUCAUCGGGCCUGGCCGCCCGGUCUGCCUCACCGCAUGCACUGGCGCGGCCGGGCCUUCUCCUCUGGGGAGCCGCAUGUCCUUCACUGGUCGUGUCGGGGAACCAGGGCCUUUACUGUGAAAAAAUUAGAGUGUUCAAAGCAGGCCUAUGCUCGAAUACAUUAGCAUGGAAUAAUAGAAUAGGACGCGUGGUUCUAUUUUGUUGGUUUCUAGGACCGCCGUAAUGAUUAAUAGGGACAGUCGGGGGCAUCAGUAUUCAGCCGUCAGAGGUGAAAUUCUUGGAUCGGCUGAAGACUAACUACUGCGAAAGCAUUUGCCAAGGAUGUUUUCAUUAAUCAGGAACGAAAGUUAGGGGAUCGAAAACGAUCAGAUACCGUUGUAGUCCUAACCAUAAACUAUGCCGACUGGGGAUCGGGCGGCGCUAUUUCUUGGCCCGCCCGGCACCCUGCGCGAAAGCAAAGUGUUUGGGUUCUGGGGGGAGUACGGUCGCAAGGCUGAAACUUAAAGAAAUGACGGAAGGGCACCACAAGGGGUGGAGCCUGCGGCUUAAUUUGACUCAACACGGGGAAACUCACCAGGUCCAGACACAACUAGGAUUGACAGAUUGAGAGCUCUUUCUUGAUUUUGUGGGUGGUGGUGCAUGGCCGUUCUUAGUUGGUGGAGUGAUUUGUCUGCUUAAUUGCGAUAACGAACGAGACCUUAACCUGCUAAAUAGCCCGCGCCGCUCCGGCGGCACGUAGGCUUCUUAGAGGGACUAUCGGCUCAAGCCGAUGGAAGUUUGAGGCAAUAACAGGUCU